rnacentral:rRNA from 1 species
UACGUAGGGUGCAAGCGUUAAUCGGAAUUACUGGGCGUAAAGCGUGCGCAGGCGGUUUUGUAAGUCAGAUGUGAAAUCCCCGGGCUUAACCUGGGAACUGCGUUUGAAACUACAAGGCUAGAGUGUGGCAGAGGGGGGUGGAAUUCCGACGUGUAGCAGUGAAAUGCGUAGAGAUGUGGAGGAACACCGAUGGGCGAAGGGCAGCCCCCUGGGGUUAACAGCUGACGCUCAGGCACGAAAGCGUGGGGGAGCAAAGCAGGAUGAGAAACCCCAGAACGUCC